GAUGAACGCUGGCGGCGUGCCUAAUACAUGCAAGUCGAGCGAACAGACGAGGAGCUUGCUCCUCUGACGUUAGCGGCGGACGGGUGAGUAACACGUGGAUAACCUACCUAUAAGACUGGGAUAACUUCGGGAAACCGGAGCUAAUACCGGAUAAUAUAUUGAACCGCAUGGUUCAAUAGUGAAAGACGGUUUUGCUGUCACUUAUAGAUGGAUCCGCGCCGCAUUAGCUAGUUGGUAAGGUAACGGCUUACCAAGGCGACGAUGCGUAGCCGACCUGAGGGGGUGAUCGGCCACACCGGAAACGAGACACGGUCCAGACUCCUACGGGAGGCAGCAGUAGGGAAUCUUCCGCAAUGGGCGAAAGCCUGACGGAGCAACGGCGCGUGAGUGAUGAAGGUCUUCGGAUCGUAAAACUCUGUUAUUAGGGAAGAACAAAUGUGUAAGUAACUAUGCACGGCUUGACGGUACCUAAUCAGAAAGCCAGGGCUAACUACGUG
rnacentral:rRNA from 1 species